GGAGAGGUGGCUCAGUGGUUAAGAGCACUUGCUCUUGCAGAUUGUCGGGGUUCAAUUCCCAGCACCCACA
rnacentral:tRNA from 1 species